UCUGGAACUGGAAGAUUGUAAAGGUAGGAGGGAGGUGGGGGAAACAAGGAGUGCUAAAGAGAAAUGAACUCAGACACAGCAGCUUGCUCUUGUCAAAACAACUUAAUACAACAACCCAAAGAGUUACAUAUGGGAUAUCUGGAAAUAAGCGCCACUACAAUUACCUGAUGAUCUCACUGGAAAAUGAGCUUCCUCCAAAGGGUAAAUGGUAUAUCAAGAUGGAAAGCACAGUCAUUCAUUCAACAAGCAAUUACUAAAUGUCUACUCUGUUCCAGAUAUUGUGCUAGGUGCUGGGAAUACAAAUAGUCCUUGCCCUCAAGAAACUUGCAUUUGAUUGGGGGAAAACAAUGUGGAAACAAAAAGAAAUGUACCUCAAUUAAUGACAGAAUAUUGGAAAAGCUCACUUGAAUCAAUAAAAUUAUAAAAGAAACUAGAUAAAAUACAUAAAAGAUGAAAGGAGAAAAGACAGCUCUAAGACUCUACAAAGAGACUAACUUUCUACCUUGUGAGCCCAGCAGAAAACUGAAUUUAAGGGAAACUUCAUGAGGAAUCAACAAAUGCCUAAAAAGUCUUCUAAUGCCCAGGAAUUGUCCAAAUGGAAACUUACCAGAACCCUGAACUUGAGAGCCUUGGGGAUAGCAAUUCCACUAUUUCCCUCCUCACUCUACACCUGACCGAUCACCUGCCGUGCUUCUCGCCCAAGUCUUGCAGCCAUUAUUAAAGGGAAUAAUUAUUGUGAAUAAGGAGCCUUGUCAAUGACUAGUGAUUACUGUUGAAAUGACUCCAGCAUAGUCCUGCAUGAACC
rnacentral:lncRNA from 1 species